AUAUGGCGGCAUCCGACCUUUUUCAUUCUAAUUUGUGCCAGAGAUAGACGUGAGUCGGAGAAGAAAAAAAAUAAUAAAAUAAUGAGACAUCAUCGAUUUCAUGGCAAUUUUAUUGCAGCAAAGUUCGGCUAGUGUUUCAGGCUUAUAAACAAAGUGUAUUUGUGCAGAUAUUUUUAAUGCAAUCCAAACAGAAGCGGAAUAUUCAGGCAUAAGCCUUAAUAAAACAUCGACGCACAAGGUUUUGAAAUGCAACCGCCUCUUGGCGACUCGCUAGACACCAUUUAAAUAGGCAACAUCUAAUUCGCAACAACACCAUCGUGGAUUUGCACAACGCAGCUCAACAAGGAGGACACCAGUUCAUCAGUUAGAGCAUAGCUUUUUCAAUCAAGUAAAAUACCAAAUAGAUUGAGAUAAAAAAGAAAGAAGAAAAUACUGGUAACACCUUUUGAAUGUUACUACUGGUAUUGUGUACCGUGGAAAACCGCAGCAAAUUCUUCCGUGCAGAAAGAAGAGACUUCGAAAAGCUACGUAUUUGUGAAAGCCGGUGGAAGACGCCAAACAUCCAGAAAUAUUCUUUCUGUGGCAUAAGCAUAUUGGAGUCGUGCAAGACUGGAGAAUACGUAUUGUGAAACUUUGAUUUAUUGUUGUUGAUAUAUCGAAAGACCUUAAGCAGUAAUGCUGUUGUUUAUGUAUUAGACCGUGCAGGCCUAAGUCUAAGUGUAGGACUCGUAUGUAAGUGAGGUGACAUCAAGACAAGCGCUAAAACCAAUUGAAAUAUUUACAUGCUACGUGUGUUUAGCAGCAGCAAAAUCACCGACAUCUAAACGAGUGGAUUUUAAUGUGUGUUGUACAGUACAAGGAAACAUAAAUACCCCUAGCAGUAGCUAGUGGAACGAUUUAGUCCCCGGCACAUAUUAGAAUGAAAAAGAGAAAAAUGAAGAAGAAGAAUAACACAUUGUUAUCGAUUACAUACUCAUAUACAGAUCUGAAUAGUAGCUAUGUAUAUCAUCACACAAUUAUUACUUGGAUUUAAACACGCAUCUGAUUAGUAGCUAUAACCACGCACAUACACACAAUUAUUACUUUUGAAUACAUGCACAAAUUUGUUUAGUAGCUAGAUCAGCACACACAAUUAUUACGUAGAUUUAUAAAUGAACUUUUUUAGUAGCUAUUGGGUUGCCCAAAAAGUUAUUGCGGAUUUUUCAUAUAGUCGGCGUUGGCAAAUUUUUUCACAGCUUGUGACUCUGUAAUUACAUUCUUUCUUCUGUCAGUUAUCAGCUGUUACUUUUAGCUUGCUUUAGAAAAAAAGUGUAAAAAAAGUAUAUUUGAUUAAAGUUUUAUUAAAAAUGCAUUUAUUUGCUUUUAAAAAAUCCGCAAUUACUUUUUGGGCAACCCAAUAGAUCAAUCAUAUACCCAUUAUUACACAUUUAUACACCAAUCAUAUACUUACCUAGUAUCUACAAUUAGACCUUUCUCUUUUGUUUAUGGUAUGUUAUCAAACUCUACUUUACAUAACAUACAUGGCAACCGAAUUAAUUUGCUUCUGUGUUAUUUGAUAAUAUGAUUUAAAGUUCGAAGAUAUAUUUUUGUGAGACGAUAAAGCAGAAAUUUUUGCUUUUUUACUGGAUGCGACAAAUGCCGAUUAAGGCGAGUUUUUUAAUUUUUUUUGAAUAAUUUUGGCCUGACCUUUUAUCAGUAAUAUAUUGUUUGGUUAUGGUUAUUUUCAGUGUGACUAUUACUGUCAAGAUCAUACCUAUCACCUCUAAUAUUUAUUAAGGAAGUUAUUACUUUAAGAUUUGUUUUUAUGGAAGCAUAGAUUUCAUAAAAGACAUAAGUUUUUCUGCAUUUUUGAGUGCAGACUCAUGGAAUCGUUUUGAGCGAGCGAAAUUUUGGUUCAAUCAUGUUAAUUUUUGUGGGCUAUGACAUUUUCUAAUUUAUAGCGCUAUAAAUGGGGAUAGUCAGUAACUGAGGGAAAGGGAUACAUGCCUGUAAGCAAAUGAUAUCUUGCAUUAGCAACGCUUAAAAAUCAAAUUUUUUCACCACGGCUACGAAACAACAGAGGUAACACGAAAAAGGAUUACAACGUCACAAUCAUUUCUUCUUUAGCCUCACGUCAAUAUAAAUUUUGUAGGGAUUUUUAGCAGUGUGCUGGUCCAAUUUUAUUCUGACAUAUUACAUGACGACAAUAACAUCGACAAGAGGCCAGUACCAGUAACUAAUAAAACAGUGUUUCACUUGAGAGGCUGAAUUACAACAGACAACAGAUCAACUAUUCCAGACGGAACCGAACAAACGACGACAGUCGAAGGAACGGUGUGGGACGCCAAAUGCAGAGGAUAAAUUCUACAAACAGCGUACGCAUAAAUACCAGGAUACGACUUUGCUAGGACUUGAGUUAUCGGAGUUGCAUUUUUAAUGAGCGCGCAUAGUAUGUUACUUCACCUUUACGUAUUGUAUGUCAUUUAAGGUAAUUUAGAAGAUAUGUCGGUAUUACGCAGCAAUCAGCAAUAAGAGUGUUCGCGUACUCAAAAAUGUGCAUAAAUUUUUACUGAAAAUCGUUGGUUUGCCAGUUAGAGACCGAAAACAUUUGGGGUUGUGUAAAUAAGAGGUUGCAAAAUGCUGGAGAUUUUUCACAGCAGUUCGCGAGCACACGUAAUAUAACGCGGCAAUCGAUAAACAAAAUACAUGUGUUUAUAUAAAUAUUGUGAUUUUUUUUAAUUUAUCGGGACGAAAAGUCACUAACUGACACCCAUCUGCCGGUUUAAGUUUAGGAUCAAUCCCAUGGCCACCGAUUGUAUGUACUGGAUUGACCCGAUGGAGUCCUUCAUCGGCAAGGGCUGCCGCCUCAGUGUACAACACACUUCUACAACCACAACAAGUUUGGAUAAGCAAUAAGCAUAUAUUCAGAAAAACAAAUUCCUUCAAUAAGAGGAAUAUCGAUAAGAUAAAUUGUAACCGGAGAAUGCGAAAGCCGGCCUGAGAGUGAUAGGAAGCAUAUUAAAUCGGGUAUGACCUUGGAUUCGUUCACAGGCUUAUGUGAAAUAUUUGUGAAAUGAGGUGACCCGUAUGAUAGAUUUCACCAAAAAACUGUGAAACCAUUUCACUAAAAAUUUCAUGGUGAAAGCAAUGUGAAUUCCUCCUUAUACUGAAAAUACACCUUACAAUCACAAAACAACUGUUGAAUAACCACGUUUGGGUUGUUUUUUGUGUCAUUAAAUUUUUGGGUUAAAAAAAUCACUUCAGUGUGCGCUAAAUUGAGAUUUAAAAAACAUCUUGCUGGCUAGCAAGAAAGCCGCAGGCAUUUCGAAAUUUCCUAAAAUGUUAAAACAAAUUACAAGCCCAGACAAAACAUAUGUUUUAAUUUUUCGAAAUGUGACAUCGAAAAAAUUAUUUCGUGUAAAUUGGCGGUCACCAAAAUAUUUAUUUGGUGAAACGAAUAUGAAAAGGGAAAGCUAUUUUUGGCGAAACCAAGGUCACACCGGAACAGUCUGGCUUAACAAUGAAGGAAGAAGAAAUUGAAAUUUCAGAGCACGCUUAACUACGUUGAAAAGGAAGGAAAGUAACGCAACGGGCCUAAAAAUGGCAUAUGUAUUGUCACUACAUUUUUUCCUGAUAGGUUUUAUUUUCAAUUAUUAUUAUAUAGAUCAAUAGUUUCACAAACACAAUUGAAAGUGCUACUGCAGAAAUAUCUUUAAACUUUGCACAAUUUACUUUAACAAUUUUGUUCGAUAUUAAAAUGAACAGACAACAAAAAUUGAUACAUGCAAUAUGAAUAUUCCCCUUUUUAA